rnacentral:tRNA from 1 species
GGGCCUAUAGCUCAGUUGGUUAGAGCAGCGGACUCAUAAUCCGUUGGUCCUAGGUUCAAAUCCUAGUGGGCCCACCA